GCUACACAGAGAAACCCUGUCUCGAAAAACCAAAAAAAAAUAAAAAUAAAAAAAAUAAAAAAAAACCUGUUUAUGAAUAGUUUCUCAUGUAGAGAAGAAUAAGCCAGUUUUUCUAUACUGUUUACAUGAAGCAAAAUUACAAGAAAAAAUUAGGUGCAUUUUAUCCUCAAGAUAGAUAAACUGUUGAAAAACUAUUUAUAAAUUUUAUGAUAAUUAGAAAAAUUUUCAAAAUCAUUGUUACUCCACGAUUUACCAUUGGCACACUUAUUUACUUUUACCUGCAGUGAUUGCAUUCACAUAUCUAAGUUAUCAUAGUAUAUAGAUUAAAUACUUUUUAAUUAUGUUUAUAUUGUGGAUUUUGAUUUAUAUUCUGGUUUACAACUUAUAAAGAUAGUAUUUUAUUUAUAAUUCAGUUAAUUCUGCAAUCUCAAUGUUAUGGCUAAAUUCAAUUUGUGGUAAAUACAUAUCCUGUAACUUUUCUAAAUGUUUUUAUGUGUUUUUAUAUCUUUAAGCAAUUUUAAAAUUUUGUAUAUUUUCAUCUAGUAUUAUUAAAAAUAAGUACCUAGUGUACUGUACGAAAAAACAGCCUGUAUCACAUUAAAAGCAAUCAAGAGAAAUUAAAAUCAGAGUUAGGAUUGAUAAGUAACAUUUAUCCUAGCACCUUUCAAGAUUAUACACAGCUCCACACUCAGUUUGUGGACAGCCUGGGCUCACUAGGCCUUGUGUCAAAAGAAAGUGUGAAAACAAAGAAAAGCUGAACACAUCCCUUCAACACAAGAGGAAUUGUAAGAAUAUGUAUUUUUGUUGAAAUUUUAGGUUAUCUACUAAUAUUUCAUCAUUUGUGAUUCUCAAACGUAAUUUGAUUUUUUUGUUGGACAAUAAGAUAGUCAAAUACCAGAUCUACGAAAUGAACAUAAGGAUUGCAGCUUAAGGUGAAUGUAAUUUAACAGUGAUAUGUUCUCUAGAAGUGGGGUGUUGUAUUAUAAAUUAAAAAAAAGAAACAAGUUGCCUUCUUGUAGACAUACUUUAGUUCAUACUAAAAUAGAUAAGAAAUUCCUGAUUAUGCAUAUUUUGUGUCAUUAGGAAGUUAAUACUUUUGUAUCAUAAUAUGUAUUAUUUUACAGUAAUAAUUGAAGAUUUGUGCAAGUUAAUUAAACUAUACAUGCUUGGAAAUUGCCACAUGGGACCAUCUUGAUGAACAGUUUAUGUAAACAGAAAACAUGUUCAGGAAGAAUGUUAAAAUUUUAACACUUGUAAAUAGAAAGAAGAUGCCAUUUGCCUGUCUUUGUACUUUAUGAGGGUAUUUGCAAAUAAGCAUAAAAACAAGAAGAAGAUAUUAAAGAGACAUUUUGUGCCAGGACAUCAUGGUAGUGCUGGACUGCCUAUCCAACUCUGUAUAAAGGUUUUUCAAACAAUUUGUGAGGAGUGUUCGUAUCUCCAGAGUCUUCUGCUUCAGCAGAGAGUAGUGCAUUAACUAAUGGAAAAGAGAAGAUAAAAGUUCUGGUGCUCAUGAUGACUAGUCCGAACCUGCAAACUGCUGAGAAAAUUUACAUUCCUGAAAACUAGAGGUGGUUGCCGAAUUGAAUAGCCGUUGGUUCUACAGCCACUAUAAUGAUCUGAAAAGUUGAAUAUUUUUCAUGAACACUUUCAGGAAUCAUAAUAGAACUCAACUAAUUAGAUAGAGACUGGAAUGUUGAUUUGAAGACAAUUACUUUUAUAAAGAUUUUCUCAUUGCUGCUUUUGCAUUAACCCAAGAAGUGGAGAUAUUACUACAUGGAGAAGAACUGUAUGAUUGAAUUGACUUUGGAAUCGUCUCAGUGUUGUCAUAAAAUAUUCACUGUAUGUAGUCAAUUUUUUCCUCAGAGUUGAUGAUUACAAAUACUUGUCAAGUUGGAAAAAUUCACUUUUACUUUUAUUUGCAUCACACUUACUAGAUUAGAGACUAGAUUGCUUUAAAUUGAGUCUUCAUUUACAACCUCAAGGAAGCUUUAAUUUCUUUCUUACUUCCCUGACCAAGUUAUCACUGAGUACAGACUUGUUCAAUUUCCACAGGAGUAUUCUGGGAUUACAGUCAAAUAUUAGAACACCAGGUUUAUUUGGUUCUGGCAUUCAAAUUCAGAGAUUCCCUCAGGCUGGAUAACUUCUAUAUCAACUGAACUACUAUAUCUCUAGCUAAAGAAUGUGGUUUUUCUCUGAUCCAGGAGUAGUGUGGCCCAACUCUACUCCUAUCUACUUAAGAGACAACACAGGAGGCCUGCACAUUUGAGGUCACCUUGACAACACUGAAACAUCUUCUUCCCAUCUCAACAAUAAAAGGGAUUUACGCUUUGCAGUGGCUGUGAAUAAACUACCAUGACCAGUGGAACUUAUAAUGGUGGUGAACAUCUUCAGAUACACAUCAAAUAUGCCUUUCUGAAAGUUUCAUCUACAGCAUCUCCCAAAUACCAUUAUAUAUUUAUUGUUUCUGGAGUAUUAGUUUACCUUUAUUAUCUCACAAAUUGUAUAGAAGAUUUCCAAGGAAUAGAAAUGACCUGCUCUUGGCAAGUAAUUGCCUAAAAUGUUUAAUACUUCUGUUUUCAGUAUAUUUUGGACUCUCAUAUUGUUUGUUGCUUAUUAUCUUUUAUUCAUAUUUUAAUUUGCAAAUGGGAGAAACUUUUCUAAGUGGGUUGCAUAGCUAAUGUAUAUAAACAUUUUUAUGAUACUUCAGAUUAUAGCAACAUUUCUUGACUAAUUGAAUCUCCCUCUAUACCAGUUUUGUUAUCAUUUGUGAGAUAUCCUCUUCCUCCUUUGAAUAAGAAACUCAGAUUUUAGGCAGGCCCUAAAGAAGAUUGGCACAGUGGUGUUCUUUAGAGAAGAUGCUCUGGUGCUAUUUUUGCUGAUACUAAGGUCUCUGUCUAGGGCAGCAAUAUGCGUCUCUAUGGUUUGCUUUUUCUCCAAUAUGACUACUGGAGACUUUGAUGCCCUUGUAACUGAGUGGGUUGAGAAAUGUCCUUGCAAUAAUAAGGAGAGACAUAGUGAUGCUAUAUUGUAGAUGUGUGGCAUCAUAUUUUUUUGAUAUCACUUUUCAGGUGUGAGUAAAAUCUCAAUGUUUCAAAGUGAUUUUUAGUUUUCUGUAUAAUGUGGGUUUUUUAUGUUAAUCUCCUUAAACUAAGUAAUGUGAAGUAGUGAUUGUUUUCAAUAUUAGUUGUGUGUUUCUAGACAAUAAGUCACCAGUUCAUUUGAAAACGACUGUCUGCCUUUCUCAAUCGGUUUUAAUAAUUGUAAGAGUGAAAAUAAUUGGUAAGAAUUUUAAAGUGUUUGGAUAUAUAUGUCUGCAUGUGUGUAUGUGUGUGUCAGGUGUCUGUAGAAGUCAGAAAUGAAAUUCAAGAUUAUAUAAUAAUCAUAUUUUGAAUGCUUGAAUUGUUUCCUUACACAUUACUUAAAAGGUGUCAGUAAGAAAGCUCAAUGGAAAAAGCCAACUGGGAAUUCCAGUUGGAUCACUGGAACCCAGGUUAUGUGUAAGACAGAAUAUAGCUGAGAACAGGACACUUCACAGAUUAUUUUUAGUCUCAUAAAUUUGUAGUACAAUCCAUAUCUCCUUACUCAUUAUAUUAUUAUUACAUUUUAGCGAUAUCCUGAGGUGCAUCCUGGAUUCUUUUUAUAAUGCUCAUUUAUUUUAUAUGCACUGUUGUUUUUCUGUUUUAAUUGCAAGGUUAAAUUAGUGUAUUUCAAUUAGUCUCUCAUGUUUACAUUUUCUGAGGUCAGAUUGCUUAUGACUAAUCAGACACCACUACAACUUGUCAGUUUGUGUUAAGGGCCACAAAACUUUGUAAAACUCUAGAUUUACAGACCAUAUUUUUGAAACUAGGAAUCUGUUCUUGUAGUACAAAAACAAUUAAGGCUAAUCAUUAAACUAUGCCCCCAUAAAUAGUUGCAAUACACAAAUCUUGGGUUAUAUUUAUAUUUUAGCAGAUAGUUGUCUAACCUGUAGUCAGUUGUAUAGGUCUAGUUUCAUCCAGACAGACUUUGGUAGAUUUAGGAUUAGAAGGUACAGAAAGAGUAUCUUUUCUUGUACAAGUUUCUGAAUGCUCUACAUGAGUGAUUCUCAACCUAUAGGUCCCAACCCCUUUGUGGGUUGAAUAUACCUUUGACUGGGGUCACUUAAGACCAUUGUAAAGCACAGAUAUUUUACAUUAUAAUUCAUAACAGUAGCACAAUCAUAGUUAUGAAGUAGCAUUAAAAAUAAUUUGAUGGUGGGAGGUCCCUAUUAUGUGAAGAGAUGUAUUAAAGGACUGUCAUAUUAACUAUUUUAAAAUUAGAUGUUUUAGUUCAAUAUAAUAUCAACAUGUAUUGUGAUUAAAUAAUUCUUUGGUCAUUAAUUGCUAAUCUGCUAUUCCAGUUCCAUAGCAGCUUAUAAUAAGGGAUAAACGUUCAUGGUGUAUAUACUAGUCAGUAACUUUCUUAUGUUUAUAUAAAUGUACAUGGAGAUUUUAGAUGUAAGAUCUUUGUAUUAAUGAUUUUUCCAUUUAAUCUAUCAUAGUGGUUUAUGGAGUUUACAAAAAUAUGUUUGCUGAUGCUUGUGAUGAUGUUGAUGAUGUGUAUAAUUAUAUAACUAUGAUAAUAUUUUUGAGUUCCUGCUUAUAUAAUAGUUUUCCAAGUAUGGUAAUAUUAAAUCAUCAUCUGUAUAUGUCUUUGGUUUCUGUCAAUAUUGUGAAGUUACCUGCAUAUGUUUUGUGGGUUAAGCCAGAGCAGUGGUGUUAUAUAGUGCUAAUUUUCAUAGUUUUGUUUUUACUAAGUUUCAAUAGCUUUGUAAAUAACAGCCAAUCUAAUAGGUGAAAUAAUAUUUUUAAAGCCUAAAUUAAGACUAAGUUAAAUGCUUAAUGGCCAUGAUUUUAUAAAACUAAAUAGAUUUUUAGUUGUAGAAGCAACAUAAAGUUUCCAAAUUUUGCUAAGUUUACAUAGUGAUACAGCAAAGGUUGCAUAGUGAUACCUUGUCUCAAUGUUUGCAUUUUUCAUAAAUUGCUUAAUUAUACACUAUGGUAACAAGUUUUUCUUUAUAUUUAAUUUUGAUGUAAUUAUAGAACCACAUGCUUCUUAUAUAAUCUGACUUAUGCUCUGCAUUCAUUUCACUUAUUAUUUCCAUUACUCUUUCCCUCCCUAUUCUUCUCAUCUUAUUUCUGUUUAUACAUGUCACAGAACUUUGUUUUCAUUUAAGAUAUGCAGUUCACACUGGCCAAAAUUUUUCUGUGAUUAUUUUAUAACCAUAUAAGUGUGCUUAUGUUCCUUUAAUCUUGGAUUAAAAUGUAAGAAAUGUUGAUUGUCUUGUUAAACUAUAAUAUUAACUAUAUUAUAAUAUAUUACAAUGUAAUAUGUUAUAAUAUAUUAUAGUAUUUUGGUAAGGAUUAUAUUAUAUUAUAUAGUUAUCCUCUAGAUUCCUGUUUCUUUUCUAAUGAAAGAAAGAAAGAAAGGGGUGGUUACAUUUAAGAAAAGGAGUGGUGAUGAAACAUAAUUAGAGGGAGAAGAAAUAUAAUUAUCAUAUAUUUUGUGAGAAAAUAUCUAUAAAAGAAAGCAGAAUAAAAUUUAAGAAUAUCAGAUGCAUUAUGACUAGUUUAAGAGUAUGCCGUAUGCAUUGCUCAUAUUUACAUUUCAUUAGUUGGUUUAGUUGUGUUUUAUUCUGUGGGAUAAAACAGAAUUUGCAAAAGCCAUGUCGCUUUCAUAUUGUUUAAUCUGAAUCAAUUCUGUAGACUAUUUUGGUUAUUCAUAGCAUUGAAUUUCUUGAAAAUACCACCAUUUAGAUUUCAAGAGCCCUCAGCUUCUGAUUUUUUCCUUGUAAAAGGAUGGAGGACAUAUAUUUGUCAUAGAAAAACUUCAGAAUAAAUGUGUGUUACCUUCAAUAAAUCAUGUCAAGUUUAAAUGCUUAUUGUCCCAAAAUAGAUGAUCAUUAGUGUAAUUCAAUGUGACAACUUUCUCUAAUGUUGAAGUUCUUUCUAAAUAAACAUUACAUACAAUGACCAUUUGAAAAUAUAUAGAUUUCUUUAUAAUCAAACUUUAACCCUAUCAAUUUAAAUUUUCUUUGUGUUUCUAUUUUUGAAUCCUAUAAGAAAUUUGACAGCACAUUUUCAGUGAACAUCUGGUAGAACUCUUCUAUGAAUAAAUCUGAUCCAGGGCUUUUUAAACUAUUUUGUUUAUUUAUUUUUAUGUAAUACAUUUUGAUAACAGUUUUCCCUCUUCUAAAUCCUCCCAUAUCUCUUAUUGUCAGAGGUUUUAUUCUACUGUUUCUUUCAUAGUGUAUUUCCAGUUUGUUAAGAAGACAACUCUUGGUUCAACUUUGGUAGACUGGAAAAAUUUUAAAUUCACCCAGUUCUUUUAGAUCUAGGUUUUAAGUUCUGACAUAAUGGAGCAUAUAUUUCUAAAGUGUUCCCUUAUAUUAUUAUCCUUGACUUUUUAAAUGUUUGAUGUGUUUCCUUGAUCAUAUCUGAUUCUAGUUAUUUAGGCCAUCACUUUCUUCUUUUUGUCAAUUGUGUACAUUAAAUUUGUUCAUCAUUUCAAAAAUUCAGCUUAAUGAGUCAUUGACCCAUUAUAUUUUUUCA